rnacentral:lncRNA from 1 species
GAACAAGAACAUCAAUCUUUGAAAUGAUGCCAAGUCCAAGCCUCUGUGUGUGUGUCUCCCCACUCCAAUUUGUCCAACAGACUGCUUCCAAAGAAAUCUUCCUAAAACACUGACCUUUUUUUUUUUUUUUUUUUGGCUGCAAAAUCUUUCAUUUCCUCAUCCCCUCACAUAACUUCCAAUCUUCUUGGCCUGGCACUAAGGACCUACUACAGACUGGCACUGAAAUAUCUUCCCUACCUUAUCAUUCCUUGUGCUUCUCCACAAGCCCACUCUUCCCCUUCAUCAUACAUGUGCCGACCUUUCCUGUCUCUUUUACUUUGCAGCACCAAAUGUUUUCUACUUUGUGGGUCUAGGAGGAACACAUGUCACUUUCGUAAGCUGCUCGAAAGCAGGGGCCACACCUUCAUCCUUGUUUUCCACACAACACCAAGCACUUAGUAGACACCCAGUAAAUCAUUGCUGAAUGAAUGUAUUCAGCCUGGAAUUGCACUAGGAUUUUUUGGCCAACACAUUGUAUUCUUAACUGAUACCGGACUUCCAAUCAAACAAAAUCAUUAAGCCUUUUUCAUAGUCUUUAAUUAAACUACUUCUCUUCCAUUAUUUCCCUUUGCCUACUUUUGAACUGAUAUUCAGAACUUUUCUGUUAAUGUUUAAUUUUCAUCCAUUAUUCUUGUCUGUACAGAUCUUUUUGAUUUUUGACUCUCUUAUCUAGUUUUUUUUUUUUUUUUUUUGGCUUCCCGUUGUGUUAUCCACAGGCACAAUGGGUAUAUUGACUAUCGUUCAUUGAAGUUGUUGAUACAAAUGUUGAACAGGAGAAAAACCAGUAGCUUGCCAACUUGGCACCUCAUUCUCUAGCUUGACAGUAAUCUCUUAUCUAGUAGUUUUUAGAUAUGGUUAUUUAAUCAAAUAUCACUAGCUUCUAAUUUUGUUAUAAUUCAUUCAUGUAUACAGACAAUGAAGAAUAUCUUCUCUUCAUUCAACACAUUUAUUGGGAACCAAUCAUUGUCCAAGGCAAUAUGCUAGGCAUUGUUGUAAUAGAAAGCGAUUGAGAUUUUACCCCUGUCCUCUUUGGCCUGCAAAGAGCAGGUAAGAUUCAUGCACAGACAAAUGUAGUACCAGGUAAAUAGUGAGGCCAAACACAAGAGGCAGGUCAAAGGGCUUUGGAUUCAGAGGAUGGAGAAGCUCUUUCUAGGCUGGUGAAAUAUUUGCAGAAUGAGUAGGCUCAUAAGUGGAGGUGAGGUACAGGCUAAGCUGCUGUAAGAAAGAGUCCAAAAUGCAAAGGAUUUACCACAAUGCAGUUAAUUUUUCUCACAACGGUCGAGGUAGGCAGGUGGUCCAAGUCCAGUUAAUCAGUCCUCCUCAACACAAGGCUUCCACUUGUAAGCUCAGGAUGACCGCUCCAGUUCUCAUCAUCUCCCAGGCAGAAAAACGGGAGAAAGAACUAGACGUACCACCCAGUCAUUUUAAGGACAUAGCCAGGCCAGGUGCAGUGACUCACAUCUGUAAUCCAAGCACUGUGGGAGGUCGAGGCUGGAGGAUAGCUUGAAGCCAGGAGUUUGAGACCAGCUAGGAUAAGAAAGCAAGACCCUGUCUCUACAAAAAAUUUAAAAAUUAACCAUGUGUGGUGGUGUGCACCUAUAGUCCCAGCUACUCAGGAGGCUGAGGUGGGAGGAUCACUUGAGCACAGGAGUUGGAGGAUACAGUGAGCCAUGAUCACACCACCUCACUCCAGCCUGGGUAACAUAGUGAGACCCCAUGUCUUUAAAAAACAAAACAAAAAAACAUCGCCAGGAAGUUGCUUACAUGUCUUCUAUUCCUAUAACAUCGGCCUGAGCUUAGUCACAUGGCCACACCCAGCAGAAAGAACGUCUAGGAAAUGUGGUCUUAGGCUAGGUAACCCCAAACCCAGCUAAAACUGUUGCUUUUGAAGAAGGGUGAAACAGACAAUGUGGAAGAGAAUUACCAGUGUGCCACAAAGAGAAAGAAUUCUAUGUGAGGAAAACGCUCUAGAAGAGGGAGCUGAUUAAUUAAUUAUAUCUCAGCCGAGAGGAUGUUAUGAGAAACACAGAUUUGGGUUUAAUAGAAAAACUUAGAACCCUUCAAGAAGGAAUGGGCGGACUUGAGAGUGUCCUCCGCUUCUGAAAAUGAUCAAGAAAAAUGGUAAGAAUGUACACCUCAAGGGUGGACGGUAAAAGUCAGCCUUUAAGCCUCAAUGGCGGUGUGGUUGUAGGUGGGGUGGGGGUGGAGGCCCCGAAGACAGGCAGACUACCACAGUAGCCCCGAUGGAAGCAGUGAGAAUGAACUGGAAGGAGCGGCUGUGGGAGCGACAACGUGAUGAGAAUAAACCCGGCUUGGCUCUGCCCUGUGCACACACAGGUGAGCUGUGUGCUCCCGGAUGUGUCAGCUGGUAUAUGCGUCUCUCAGAAGGCAGCUGGGGAGCACUGGUAGCUCAGAGACUGAGAGGCAGACCCAGGAAGCCCUUCUUUGCAUUGGUCAGGGUUUGCUGCAUUUUCCCAAGCCCAGGAGAUGGAACCCAGUUCUUUUUCUUUCUGUGUAAAAUAAUAAGCAUCACAAUAGGCUGUGCUCAUGAGAACGCAUUUUGUUUCCACAGAAAUGUUUUUUCUCACUCUGUCCUGAUUUUGAUUUCUGUUAAACUCAGUAAACACAUUACCAAAUUUUAAAAUAAGGUGACUUGUUUUCCCCAACUCACAGUUCACCAAAGGUAUUUCAUCUGUUUGUUCUGAAAAUGCAGCUGCUGUCUAGAUUUAUGUGUGCUCUGAUAAGAAAUGUUUUGUGUAACAAUAAAAAUCAUUUCCUUUGAUGAA